rnacentral:rRNA from 1 species
AACGCGAAGAACCUUACCUGGGCUCGAAAUGCAGAGGAAGAUGCCAGAAAUGGUCUCGUCCGCAAGGACUUCUGUAUAGGUGCUGCAUGGCUGUCGUCAGCUCGUGCCGUGAGGUGUUUGGUUAAGUCCCGCAACGAGCGCAACCCUUGUCCUGUGUUGCCAUACCGAAAGGUGGAACUCGCAGGAGACCGCCAGGGAUAACCUGGAGGAGGGUGGGGAUGACGUCAAGUCCUCAUGGCCUUUAUGUCCAGGGCUACACACGUGCUACAAUGGACGGUACGAAGGGCUGCCAACCCGCGAGGGGGAGCCAAUCCCAAAAAACCGUUCUCAGUUCGGAUUGCAGGCUGCAACUCGCCUGCAUGAAGCUGGAAUCGCUAGUAAUGGCGGAUCAGAACGCCGCCGUGAAUACGUUCCCGGGCCUUGUACACACCGACGCGUA